UGACAUGUUUGCCAACCUAAGAUUUUAAUUACGAAUUAGAAAUAAUGACGAAUUAGACACUUCCUGAUGUUCCAGCAUCACUGGAGUCAAGACAAAUUGCAUCGACUAAGUCACGUUCUAAUUCAUUGAGGCUUACGUAGUAAAUGAACAAGAUGAGGAUAUUCAGGCGGUUGAAUAUCAACUGAGGCAGUUGGAAUCAGACAGGCCUUGGCCAUAUUUACAUGGAUUAUCGCGGGAUUGAUGGUCCUUGAAUUACUGGAUGAAGUAUCGCGGGAUUUGGAUCAGCCACGCCACGUCCGUCCACGUGUGAAAACUGAAGAAAAAUGGCCAAUCUUGUCACAUUUGUGACAUGUCCUGUCUCGUGCCGGACAAUAUUCAUGAGACAAACCACAUGGGUGUGACGAACCACCACAGCCCAGCAUUUCCAAUCCCAAUCCGUUGGCUUGGCUUUGCCUUUGUGGCCUGACUUGGCCUUCUUGUAGGAAGAGACCGCCACGAUUGUGGUUGCAGGAUCACUCAGAGAAAGUGUGGUUUCAACUACGUGGGCGGACUCCUACGCCAUUGCUGUGCAAAGGAGGAUAUUGCGUGAAGGAUCGGGUUGGCGAAGGAAUUCCUCCAGUAGCCGCCAAUCUGAUGUGCCCAUGACAAGGCAAAGGACAUACAAUUCCUCCUCACCAAUUCUGGAUAAUUCGGCCUCCUGUCCCUUGAGUUGCAGACGAAGAUACCAAUCCCUGAACUUUUCACCGUUGAUUGCGUCGGAAAAAGCUAUACCAUGUGGAUCGGACUGGUAACUUGAUCCACAUUGAAUUAAUUUGGAUUGACCGUUGGCAUGCGUUUGUAGAAGGGCAUAUCCUAGUCCUUUCAAGCAAGAAGCGUCGGUGAGAAGGAAGGUGGGCAACAAAGGAUCGAAAUGACCUAAGACUGGACCUUUAGGAUUGUUGAGCUCCUGAGAGGUUGGGAUGUAUGGGCCAGAUUGGAUACAAACCGACCCAACUGAUUCGUCAAGCCCAAGAAAGAUCGCAAAUCUGUGAGAUUGGCGGGAGCCUGGAAUUUGGAAAUAGUUGCCACCUUGGCUGGGUCCGGGAGCACACCGUCGGGACCAAUCACAUAUCCGGCAAACUUCAUGGAUGAACAAAAUUGAGCCUUGGUCUUGGAAAGAGUGAUGUUGUUUUCCUCGCAUCUCUGACACACAGCCUCAGUUUCCUGCUCUAAAUCCUUGUAAGAUGCAGCACAGAUGAGAAUCCAUGAUCUUACGGACUUCAGCCAGACCAGAAAAGGCUUGAUCUCCUUGAGCGGAGAAUUCAUCGGCUGAAGCCUUGAGACCCCAUGGGGGCCAGGCAGUAGCGGUAGCGCCAAAACUGGAGUCAAGAAAGUCGUCAGAUGUCUGGAUGCAAGAUCUAGCUCCACCUGCCAGUAUCCCUUCACCGCAUCCAAAACAACAAACCAUUUUGAAGAGGCUGGAAUUGGUGUCGAGAUGUCCUUGGUGGAGGAAAACGGGUGGAUUGGUAACUUCACGUAUUUGUUCAAGGCCGUGAAGUCCACAACGAGAGGAACAGAUUCGUUGGGUUUUGGGACUACCAAACUAGGGCUGGACCAAUCCAAAGGCUCGGCAAAUGUGAGGUUUUUAGCCACGGUGACAUGCGUUGGCUUGAUAGGAACAUCAUCCUCAGGACUGCAGAAGCAUCAAAAACGGACGGAAACUUGUCCAUGAGAGCAAUAAUACUGGUUUUGAUCUUCUCCUUGGUUGGUUUAAGCAUGACUAAACGGAUGUCCAUUUUUGGGAUUGAUUGGACAUGUUGAAGCUAACAUCCCAAGAGAAAUCAUAGAGUGCCAAGAAAGAAGACUCUGGUCCUUGAUAUUGAGUGUGACGUAUGCUCAAAGAACAGUUGUAUAUUUCCCUAGAUGAGUGAUUUCGAGCUCAACAGCAUCAAAACAUUCCAUUUUUGAAUUAUUGGGUGCUCGGAUAGAACGAAGAUUGAGACCCAUCUAUCUGGAUUCCGUAGGUUUUCACCAGAUCCGCCAAGAUCAAAGUUUCGGUGGCACCAGUAUCUGGAAAAGACGACCAUGUGGAAUAGAGUUCCAGAACGCGGUUGAAUAUCAACUGAGGCAGUUGGAAUCAGACGGGCCUUGGCCAUAUUUACAUGGAUUAUCGCGGGA